rnacentral:rRNA from 1 species
AACGAACGCUGGCGGCAGGCUUAACACAUGCAAGUCGAGCGCCCCGCAAGGGGAGCGGCAGACGGGUGAGUAACGCGUGGGAAUCUACCCAUCUCUACGGAAUAACGCAUGGAAACGUGUGCUAAUACCGUAUACGUCCUUCGGGAGAAAGAUUUAUCGGAGAUGGAUGAGCCCGCGUUGGAUUAGCUAGUUGGUGGGGUAAAGGCCUACCAAGGCGACGAUCCGUAGCUGGUCUGAGAGGAUGAUCAGCCACACUGGGACUGAGACACGGCCCAGACUCCUACGGGAGGCAGCAGUGGGGAAUAUUGGACGAUGGGCGCAAGCCUGAUCCAGCCAUGCCGCGUGAGUGAUGAAGGCCCUAGGGUUGUAAAGCUCUUUCACCGGUGAAGAUAAUGACGGUAACCGGAGAAGAAGCCCCGGCUAACUUCGUGCCAGCCGCCGCGGUAAAAC